GAUGAAGAACGUAGCGAAAUGCGAUACUUGGUGUGAAUUGCAGAAUCCCGUGAACCAUCGAGUCUUUGAACGCAAGUUGCGCCUCAAGCCAUUAGGUUGAGGGCACGUCUGCCUGGGCGUCACAUAUCGUUGCCUGAUGCCAGUUUCCUCGUGAUGGGUGACUGUGCAGGGCGAAUGAUGGCUUCCCGUGAGCAUUGUUGCCUCAUGGUUGGUUGAAAAUUGAGUCCUUGGUAGGGAGCGCCGUGAUAGAUGAUGGUUGAGUGACGAACGAGACCCAAUCAUGUGAGACCCCUACCGAAUUUGGCCUUCAUGACCCACAUGCGUCUUUGGAACGCUCAUGACGAGACCUCAGGUCAGGCGGGGCUACCCGCUGAGUUUAAGCAUAUCAAUAAGCGGAGGA
rnacentral:misc_RNA from 1 species